CUUUACUGUAGCCUGGUAUUGGGUUCGGGCUUUGACUGCGCAGGAUAGGUGGGAGACUAUGAAGCUGCCCUUGUGGGGGCAGUGGAGUCAUCAGUGAGAUACCACUCUGUCAAGGCUAGAAUUCUAACCGUCUGCCGUUAUCCGGCGACGGAACAGUAUCAGGUGGGCAGUUUGACUGGGGCGGUCGCCUCCUAAAUGGUAACGGGGGCGCGCAAAGGUUCCCUCAGGCUGGUUGGAAAUCAGCCGAAGAGCGUAAAGGCAGAAGGGAGCUUGACUGCAAGAGCAACAACUCAAGCAGGGACGAAAGUCGGCCUUAGUGAUCCGACGGCGCUGAGUGGAAGGGCCGUCGCUCAACGGAUAAAAGUUA
rnacentral:rRNA from 1 species